AUUGCAAUGAACGCUGGAACUCCGGAGCUGGAUGAGCAACUUAGAACCAUCAGUAUCUUGGGAGGAAAAGAAUGUUAAGGAAAAGCAAAUCAUUAAUUUUAAAAUACUUUCUUAACCUCAUUAAUGGAGCUUUCCUGGUUCUUGGACUUUUACUCAUGGGAUUUGCUGCAUGGCUUUUAUUGGACAGAAAUAAUUUUUUCACUGCUCUAA